rnacentral:rRNA from 1 species
GAUGAACGCUGGCGGCGUGCCUAAUACAUGCAAGUCGAGCGAACAGAUAAGGAGCUUGCUCCUUUGAAGUUAGCGGCGGACGGGUGAGUAACACGUGGGUAACCUACCUAUAAGACUGGGAUAACUUCGGGAAACCGGAGCUAAUACCGGAUAACAUUUAGAACCGCAUGGUUCUAAAGUGAAAGAUGGUUUUGCUAUCACUUAUAGAUGGACCCGCGCCGUAUUAGCUAGUUGGUAAGGUAACGGCUUACCAAGGCGACGAUACGUAGCCGACCUGAGAGGGUGAUCGGCCACACUGGAACUGAGACACGGUCCAGACUCCUACGGGAGGCAGCAGUAGGGAAUCUUCCGCAAUGGGCGAAAGCCUGACGGAGCAACGCCGCGUGAGUAAUGAGGGGUUUCGGCUCGUAAAACUCUGUUAUUAGGGAAGAACAAAUGUGUAAGUAACUGUGCACAUCUUGACGGUACCUAAUCAGAAAGCCAGGGCUAACUACGUG